rnacentral:lncRNA from 1 species
CCAUGACAUUUAGAGAAAAUGUCAUGUGUAUUUACACAUUUAUAAAAGUAAAAUAGAGCUAUAUUUUUAUGUCGACUCUCGCGGUAACGGGAGUUUGACGAGAGUUUGACCGGUAUAAAUAACUUCCGGUCGAGCUGAGACUUCCUUUCUGUUGAGUGUCGAGGACGAGGGGGUCGAAGUGGAAGGUUGUCCUAAAUCAGGUUGGUUAAAAUAACCUUGUAUUUCAUUGAAAUAACCUUGUAUUUCGUUUGCCAAGGCUUUGGCCUAAAGAAUGUUACAGUUUUUGUGGAGGUUGGAUUUAGUAUUUAGUAGGAUGUCUUAUGAUUUCGUUUGAGGGGAGGACUGCUCCCAUCUUAGCGUUUGAGGCUAUGGCCGACGCUGAUUGAAUAAGGGGAUACUAGCUAGGGAAUAUGGUGGUUAAAUAUCUAGGACCCAUAUUGUGAAAGGAUGGAUGUAGUUUUGUGUGCCUUGAGUUUGAAAAUACGUAGGUUAUGGGUUUAGGUACAGAGAGGGUACCACGUGUUCUCCACGUGUUCUCCACGUGUAGCAAAAUCCCGUGUAAUGAAUAAUAUCAUGGAGAUUUCUGAUGUUAAACUUGUUCGAGGGAGAAAGGAGGUGUAUGCAAUGGAAUUUGCUGUAGUAAGAUUUGUGUAUAUGUUAGGAAAUGCCAUGAGGAAUAUAAUGUAUGCGAGGGAAUUUGCUGUAGAACGAUUCUUGCAUAUGUUUGGGCAAUGCCGUAAGGAAUAUAAUGCAUGUGAUGGAAUUUGCUGUAGUAAGAUUUUUGCAUAUGUUUAGGCAAUGCCAUGAGGAAUAUAAUGUAUGUGGGGGGAUUUGCUAUAGAAAGGUUUUUGCAUAUGUUUAGGAAAUGCCAUGUGGAGUAUAGUGUACGUGAUGGAAGUUGCUCUAGGGAGGUUUUGUGUAAUGGAACUUUCUUGUUUUGAUUUCAGGGCAACAAGUCCUUCUACUUCUUCUCUUUUCUUCUCUUCUCUCUUCUUUCUUCUCCUUCUUUUCCUUCUACUCCUUUUCUUUUUCUUUCCCUUUUUUUCACCUUCACUUCCACUUCCUCAGUUUUCUUCCCAAAUCUUCUUCGCCUGUUUCUUCAUGUCUUCAUAACUUCGCCAGCCGUCAUCCCAAUAAAGAAUUCAGCUGACGAA